GACGGAAGGUGCAAGCGUUGCUCGGAAUCACUGGGCGUAAAGGGUGCGUAGGCGGGUCUUUAAGUCAGGGGUGAAAUCCUGGAGCUCAACUCCAGAACUGCCUUUGAUACUGAAGAUCUUGAGUUCGGGAGAGGUGAGUGGAACUGCGAGUGUAGAGGUGAAAUUCGUAGAUAUUCGCAAGAACACCAGUGGCGAAGGCGGCUCACUGGCCCGGUACUGACGCUGAGGUGCGAAAGCGUGGGGAGCAAACAGG
rnacentral:rRNA from 1 species